UACGGAGAGGGCUAGCGUUGUUCGGAAUUACUGGGCGUAAAGCGCACGUAGGCGGAUCAGAAAGUCAGAGGUGAAAUCCCAGGGCUCAACCUUGGAACUGCCUUUGAAACUCCUGAUCUUGAGGUCGAGAGAGGUGAGUGGAAUUCCGAGUGUAGAGGUGAAAUACGUAGAUAUUCGGAGGAACACCAGUGGCGAAGGCGGCUCUCUGGCUCGAUACUUACGCUGAGGUGCGAAAGCGUGGGGAGCAAACAGG
rnacentral:rRNA from 1 species